rnacentral:rRNA from 1 species
UACGUAGGGUGCGAGCGUUGUCCGGAAUUAUUGGGCGUAAAGAGCUUGUAGGCGGUUUGUCGCGUCUGCUGUGAAAAUUCAGGGCUUAACCCUGGACGUGCAGUGGGUACGGGCAGACUAGAGUAUGGUAGGGGAGACUGGAAUUCCUGGUGUAGCGGUGGAAUGCGCAGAUAUCAGGAGGAACACCGAUGGCGAAGGCAGGUCUCUGGGCCAUUACUGACGCUGAGAAGCGAAAGCAUGGGGAG